rnacentral:ncRNA from 1 species
CUUAUUAAGAGUGGUGGAGGGACUGGCCCUACGAAGCCCAGCAACCUAUUAACAGUUAUUAGUUACUAGUGAGAUUGAAAGAGAUCAUUUAGGAUUUCAAUCAUAAAAUACUAACUAUGUUAAUGUGGUGCUAAAUCCUACAGGAUAACUGAGAGAUAAG